rnacentral:rRNA from 1 species
UACGUAGGGUCCGAGCGUUGUCCGGAAUUACUGGGCGUAAAGAGCUCGUAGGUGGUUUGUCGCGUUGUCCGUGAAAACUCACAGCUCAACUGUGGGCGUGCGGGCGAUACGGGCAGACUGGAGUACUGCAGGGGAGACUGGAAUUCCUGGUGUAGCGGUGGAAUGCGCAGAUAUCAGGAGGAACACCGGUGGCGAAGGGCGGGGUCUCUGGGGCAGUAACUGACGCUGAGGAGCGAAAGCGUGGGGAGCAAACAGG